ACAAAACCAGUGACUAAGACCAAGUGAUGGAUGUCAGGCUUCAGACAGAAGCUUUCGUUUGCUAGAGGAAGCACCUUGACUGUAAACUGAAAUGUAAAUAGUGGGUGUGGUAACAAGGAAGAACUUGGCUCUAAGGGUCAGAGAUCGCGGAGGGCCCUGACCAUGACCUGCGCAUGGAGCAGAAAAGUGGAAGAGAAGACAGAUUAUUUGGUUUCACUUUGAUGGAGUAGAAUUAAGAAUGGAUACUUGAUAGUAUUUUAUCUAAAGGAACCCUUUCCCAAGACAAAGGAAUUUAGAUUUCAUUUUUGGUGUUGAAAAUUGUUAUGAUCUUCCAAGAGGCAUUUAUAGUACAUUGCUCAGGAGUUUUGUGUUUACAUGAGUAAAAACACCAAACAAAAUGGCUCACAAUAUCUGUGUUCACCUGAGUGUGCAAAGAGAAAGAAGAAAGGAUUCUAGUGUUCAAGGAUUGCCUACUGCACACCAGCUUUUUUACAUAAUCAGGAGCAAAAUUGCCGUGUCCCUGGAUGGAUAUGUGGUUCCUCUCACAAUGGACAUGUACAACCGGAACACAGAUUCUGUGUAUUUCCAAAAUGUACCAUCUUUAACCCGGGAUUGA
rnacentral:lncRNA from 1 species